UUGGGUGGCCCUCAUCUUUCUCAAUCACUUGGGAUUUUGAUAAGGGUCAUAUUCUUCCUACUCGGCUUUUGGUGUUUGAUCUAGGAUUGUAUUGAGUUCCAUGUAUCUUAACCGUUGUCCUUUGUUGUAAGCCAUUUAUGACCUUUGUUGCUAGAAUCAUCAGUAGUUUUUAUUUCAGUGUCAUCUAUGAUCAUUUUGGUUUGGUCAUUUGUGGCCUCGUUUAGGUUAUCUGUAAUUUAAUUUAUUUGAAUUGUUUGGUAGUCAUGUAACUCCUACUCCGUCAAUGAAUAGUUUGCAAUGAAAAGGAAAAUAAUCCUACCAAUUGAGUCUUAGUUUUUUCAGUACAGGAGGUCGUGGAUUUGAG
rnacentral:lncRNA from 1 species